AGACCUGGCCGGCGCAAGUGAAAGUGUAGUAUUUGUUAAUAUCAGUUUCAUCUCUGAUGCGCGUGCUAUUUAGACCCAAGAUAUUGAACUUAUUUCUGUAAGUCGGCGGAGAGCUUGAAGCCUGCUUUACCUCCGCCGCGGGUCGGCCUGGUGUUGCGCUACUAUCUUCGGGAUGGGCCCAUGGUUU